rnacentral:sRNA from 1 species
CUAGUAGUAAUGACCACCACCAUUAUUAUUACCGACAUUACACAUGUUGGGGCGGGCUGCUAAGCGAAAAAUUUUUUCAAAAAAGGCCUGUAUCCCACCAGAUACAGGCCUUUUUUUA